GAAGCCGGCCAGACCGCCGCUGGUGCGCUCGGGGAAACCCGGCACUGGAGGAAGGUCCGGACUGCGCAGGGCGGCGUAGCAGCUAACGGCUGUCCACCGCAAGGUGAGGAUCAGAGCAACAGAGACGAGUCUCUGCGGGGUCCCGAUGGAGAGUGUUCUGCGAGGCGCCGGCGCGAGCCGGCGUGCCGUGAGGCGCAAGCCGAACGGCAUCGGGCGCAAGCCCGAACCGAGCAGCCACUCUCUGCGGGGCGAAGCCCCGCAGAGAGUGAAACGGGCAAUCUCUACGCGCAGCAACACCCAAUAGGCCGGCGAUGAUGCGGCCCGCGGAGCCGGCGGGUAGGUGGCACCGAGCCGGGGGGCGACUCCCGGCCCAGAGGAAUGGCGGUCACGGCAAUCGCGCCGCAAGGCGCAGGCGCCGCACAGAAUCCGGCCUAUCGGUCGACUUCACAC
rnacentral:RNase_P_RNA from 1 species